UAGGGAAUCUUCGGCAAUGGGGGGAACCCUGACCGAGCAACGCCGCGUGAGUGAAGAAGGUUUUCGGAUCGUAAAGCUCUGUUGUUAAGGAAGAACGAGUGUGAGAAUGGAAAGUUCAUGCUGUGACGGUACUUAACCAGAAAGGGACGGCUAACUACGUGCCAGCAGCCGCGGUAAUACGUAGGUCCCGAGCGUUGUCCGGAUUUAUUGGGCGUAAAGCGAGCGCAGGCGGUUAGAAAAGUCUGAAGUGAAAGGCGGUGGCACAACCAAUGUAGGCUUUGGAAACUGUUUAGCUUGAGUGCAGAAGGGGAGAGUGGAAUUCCAUGUGUAGCGGUGAAAUGCGUCAAUAUAAGGAGGAAAACCGGUGGCGAAAGCGGCUCUCUGGUAUGUAACUGACGCUGAGGCUCGAAAGCGUGGGGAGCGAACAGG
rnacentral:rRNA from 1 species